rnacentral:piRNA from 1 species
UAGAAGAGGCUAAUGACUGUAGCAUGGUAU